CCCCACCCCCCACCUGGUGCCCCCAUUGCCUACAAUGACUUUAUUCUCACCGUUUCUCAGAAAGCCUUCGGGCUCUAAAUCAGAUGACUCUUUAACCGUGAGUCUCGCUCCCGACACAGAGGCCUAUACGGCGGCCACAGGUAGCCCGCUUUCAAUACCUCUCUGCAUGUCGUCACCCCUAACCGGCAUCUGUCCUCAUCGUUAUUAAUACGUCCCGUCGUCAUGUGUUUUGUUAUUCGUUCAGAGGCCAUGGCAUGUUCAUGUUCCAAAUCGUCAGCCGACGCCGUUUUCUAAAAGUGACGCUAAUGUUACGACUGUAGUGUCUAGAUGUUGUCAGGUCCCUCAGCUAAAUCCAUCACAUGUUUAGUACCAUGCAUGACAUGGCAGUGUGUUCUGGACCAUUCCAUUACUGAAGGUUUAAAGGUACUUACACACUGCCCCGACAAACUCCAACAUGGGGCCAGUGUGCACACAAGUUGGUGGUUAUGGCGGGUUGUCGGCGGUCAUUUUGAAUCGUGUUGUUCAACUUCGGCCCACGUUCCAACCAUUCUGGGUGUGGGUAUUUGUUUGGGGCAGUGUGCAUGCACCUUCAUAGCUACUCAAGCCACCUAAUGCUCACCUGAGUCACAUAACUGCUCCAUAGCCUAGUUUGCUUCUAACCCCUGCUGCUGUUGCAAGCAGACCCUUAAAGCUUCAAGUAUCGCCUUCGUCGCCCUCAUCGUCUUCAUCCUCUCCGUCUCCCACCUCACAGACGCAGCAUCGAACAGUGAGGGCACGGAGGGGAGAGCGACCAAUGGGACGCGAGAUAGUGUGGCGUCACUGCCUGCUGACAUCAGCAACAGGAGCAGCUACAGUAUCCCGGCAACAGUGUAGAACAAUGUUUUCAGUGGAAGAAAGAACACCACGAAAAAAAACGUUUUUCUUUUUAAAUCUGAGAGAUUGACAUUUGAAGGAAACUCGAGGAAGAACAAAGAAAACUCCAAAAGUUGGAGUGUCUGAAAAAAAAAAAAUGGCUUAUUGACGAGCCUUGGCUUUUAUUGUCCGAGGACACACAAAAUGAAAAGGAGUUUCAUUCCCCUAAUCCAGUCUCCCUCUCUCCUCCGUCUGCUGUCUGGUGUGCGUCCGGCUCUCUCAGCCGUCAGCACGAGUGUCUUUCUGUCUUCCUCCAUUUUGUGUUUUUUUGUCUCAUUAGGGGCGGUUGCCUUUGUCUCUGUCACGACAAAUCUAUUUAUCUGAAGUGCACUGUUGCUAAUAGAAGACUGUAAAUACACUUUGCCACUAUCAGUAGAGAAACGUGUGUGUAUAUUUUUGCAUUGUGUGUGUAUAUACUGAUGAGAGGCUACGCGCUAGAAUAAAGAUGUAGGUUUUGAUUACGCAGUGUUUCGGUGCCCUUUAUUUUGCUCGGGCGUUGGAAGAUCACACAGGGAAGACGUAUUCUGUAUUGCUAAAAAAUGGUAAACAUCUUAAACCUAAGCAGAAACCAGCGCUGAUCUCAUGUUCCCUCAAGCUGUAUCACACGCUCAAAACGAGUGAGAGAAUAACAAACUCGAACAAUGUGUCGCACCCAACGAAACAUCCUAAAUUGGCCGGCAUCGAGCUGAACACACAUUAGGGGGGGGGGGGGGGGGGGGGGAGAGAUUAGAUGCAUGCAGCAGGUGGAGGAAAUGAAUCAGUUGCGGCGCAGUGUCGUUCUAUGUGGCCCUGCUAUGAGGGCUGCAGAAUUGUUUACGCCAGCGCUUAUUGUUUCGGCCGCUGCGGACCAAACAGCCCAUUGUGCACGAGGCGGAGAGGGAUAUCUGCGGCACGCCAAAUAAACACAUCAUCCACGCCUUUUGUUACACUGGGCUUUGGCUUUUUCCUCUCGCCGUUAAAGCCGACCGCCUCAGCCUUGGGUUUUACAACUCGGUAGAGAACCCAGUGAAUCAACUAAAUCCACAAGGGACGAGUAAAUCUCAAAAGUAUUAUUUGACAUACUCAGUGAAUACACCAGUACAGCAUACAAAACAGCACCAUGCAAGCGUAUUAAUGUAUUUAACGGUAGCAUCUUAGUUGCUUUGAAUCCCUACACUGAGAAGAAAGUAAUUCUUUACGAUAAAACAAUGCCCUUUAUGAUUGAUCGUUAUUUUGGCACUGCGUCUUGCACAUUAAGGCGAGACAUGAGGGAUAUAACUCACGCAGAUCUCUAAAGACCUUAAUGCAUGUGUGGCCCUGUGUGUGUGUGUUCAUAGUGACAGAGGACAGAACGACCAGCAGCAUGUGGAGCGUGAGACCUGCCACUGCAGCCAGUGACGAGGACGCCAGUGUGGGGUCUCGGGAGCCGGACGUAGAGUACACUGAGGUGGUGCACCCCCAGCCGACAGACCCCCAAAGGUACACACACACACACACAGACACACAGACACACACACACACACACACACACUCUGAUAUCUGAUCCUCAAGUUCGGGCCCUCAACGUUUCCCUUUCCUAUUCUCCCCACAUCCGCCCCUCGCAUUGCCCAACCCCAGUUCCUCUCGUUCCUCGUCCACGUUUCCUUGUUGUCGAUAAAGCCACGGCCGCACGGCUUCCUGGGCGGGCCCCGUAAUGACCCCUCAUUAAAGCAGUGAGCAGGUUGCCAUGGCAGCCGGGCUUCCAUGGGGGCCGACGUGUAAACAGGAAGCGACGGACUAAUUGCCAAGCGGGUUUCCUGAUGGUUUCGGUGAUGCCCGCGUUGUCCUUUGAAGCCCUCUCGCGGACCGCGGCUAAGCUACUCCACAAUCACUAGUUGGCCCUUCAAACAAAUACGAAUGAAUAAACAGAAUGAAUAAAUUGCAUGAUAAGGGUGCCGUCUCUUUUGAUGUUAAGGUAAAGUGAAUCUUUCUCUCCCUCAUCCACAGUGGUGCUGAAGAAGGGCACGGACACCGUGUACACCGAGCUCCAGAACACUCCUCCCAGUGUGGUCGCUGCUGCUGCUGCUGCUGAUGAUCACGAAUACGGUUCACUGCAGUACGCCGACCUGAAGAACACUCACCCUCUGCUGGGUCCAGAUGAGGACUACCACCAUGGGCUCCCUGUGCCAGUGGAUUAAUUAUUAUUAUUUUUUUUCUCUCUCUCUCUCUCUCUCUCGACACUUCGCUCUAUUUUCUAUAACCACUGUUUUGUUUUUUUAUUCAGUCUUGUGUCUCAAUAAUUCAAAUGAGUAAUUAUGCUUGCUGUAAAUGCUUCAUCUCAAUAAACCGCACUUCAGAUAAAUAAUAA